UGAAGACUAGGCCAUGGUCUGAUCC
rnacentral:piRNA from 1 species